rnacentral:rRNA from 1 species
AUUGAACGCUGGCGGCGUGCUUAACACAUGCAAGUCGUGCGGUAACAGGCGUAGCAAUACGUGCUGACGAGCGGCGAACGGGUGCGUAAUACAUGGGAAUCUGCCCUUUAGUGGGGAAUAACCCGGCGAAAGCCGGGCUAAUGCCGCAUAAGAUCUUCGGAUGAAAGCGGGGGAUCGUAAGACCUCGCGCUGAUGGAUGAGCCCAUGCCGGAUUAGCUAGUUGGUGAGGUAAAGGCUCACCAAGGCGACGAUCCGUAGCUGGUCUGAGAGGACGGCCAGCCACACUGGGACUGAGACACGGCCCAGACUCCUACGGGAGGCAGCAGUGGGGAAUAUUGGACAAUGGGGGAAACCCUGAUCCAGCGACGCCGCGUGUGUGAAGAAGGCCUGC